GCCUUCUCGGAAGCCCUUCCUUGCGCGAGCUCCGAAAGCCCUGUGCCUUUUUUUUCCUUUCUGUGUCCCCUCUCAGGCUCCGUCCAGCAUCCUUCCCACUUCGCUCUUCUUCAUCCCUAUUUCCUUUAGGACUCCGACUCCCUCCCCCCCCCCCCCCCAAAAUAACUUUGUCUCCAUUCGGGCCCCGCCCCCCGCAAUUUGCUCUCGGACCCGCCCACCAGCCGCACGCGCUCUCCUUGCUUUUCCCCGCCUCCUCUCCUUGGCAGGAGGCUUUCCCUAUUUCUUGAGGCCGGAGGCCUCCUGCACUUAGCUAUCCGCGUGGACUCAAGCGGGCCUUAGGUGCCGCUCUUCCUGUCUUCUCGUGGCUUGGCCCCUCCACGAUCCCCUGUGCAGCAUAUCCUCCUUGAUCUUGGAGCUCUGGAGUAUGGCUGUAAUAUUCCUGGGAAUUUUCAUAUUGGGAUCUCUUUUAGAAGGGAGAGGAAGAGAAUAAACAUUUAUAUAAUGCCAAGAACUUGUUAAGAGCUUUUUACAAAUAUGAUCUCAUUUUAGCUUCACAACAACCCUUCAAGGAUCAGAUGAUGGUGACUGGAUGUGACAGGUUGCCCUAUUCCUUUGGCAGCCACUAUGGAAAUAAACCCUCAAGAAGGAAUUUUUUCCCACAAGAUCAUUUUCAGAAAGGGUCCAGGCCUAAGUUGAGAAGGAGUGGUCUCAGCUUGUUGAGAAUUGGUGUACACGAACUGAUGCUGAGUGAAAUGAGCAGGACCAGGAGAUCAUUAUAUACUUCAACAACAAUACUAUAUGAUGACCAGUUCUGAUGGACCUGGCCAUCCUCAGCAAGGAGAUCAACCAAAUCAUUUCCAAUGGAGCAGUAAUGAACUGAACCAGCUAUGCCCAGAGAAAGAACUCUGGGUGAUAACUAAAAACAAUUACAUUGAACUCCCAAUCCCUAUAUUUAUGCCCACCUGCAUUUUUGAUUUCCUUCACAAGCUAAUUGUACAAUAUUUCAGAGUCUGAUUCUUUUUGUACAGCAAAAUAACGGUUUGGUCAUGUAUACUUAUUGUGUAUCUAAUUUAUAUUUUAAUAUAUUUAACAUCUACUGGUCAUCCUGCCAUCUGGGGGAGGACGUGGGGGGUAAGAGGUGAAAAAUUGGAACAAGAGGUUUGGCAAUUGUUAAUGCUGUAAAAUUACCCAUACAUAUAACCUGUAAAUAAAAGGCUAUUAAAUAAAUAAAAAUAAAUAAAUAAAUAAAAAAGAGAAUUGGUGUACAUUGCUUAAUAAAUCAAAAUACUUGGAAGCUU
rnacentral:lncRNA from 1 species